CAGUAGCCACGGUAAUACAGAGGGUGCGAGCGUUAAUCGGAUUUACUGGGCGUAAAGCGUGCGUAGGCGGCUUUUUAAGUCGGAUGUGAAAUCCCUGAGCUUAACUUAGGAAUUGCAUUCGAUACUGGGAAGCUAGAGUAUGGGAGAGGAUGGUAGAAUUCCAGGUGUAGCGGUGAAAUGCGUAGAGAUCUGGAGGAAUACCGAUGGCGAAGGCAGCCAUCUGGCCUAAUACUGACGCUGAGGUACGAAAGCAUGUGGAGCAAACAGGAUUAGAUACCCCGGUAGUCCCUGUCUCUUAUAC
rnacentral:rRNA from 1 species